CCCCCCCCCAUUUUAAACUAACACCACCAUUGAAAUUCUCACAAAAUAACUUUUCGAACGUGUGGUCAAAUGCGUCAAAAACAUUACACAAACCGAAACAAUCAUAUAUUUACUCACCACUUGGGGAAACAUUCUGCAUUUCACAUCAAGAAAAAGUUGAAUAUCUUCUAAACUUUUCAUUACUUCUCAUCGGAUAUAUGAGUAAAG